UUUGGAAUAUUGCACAAUGGGCGAAAGCCUGAUGCAGCAACGCCGCGUGAAGGAAGAAGGUCUUCGGAUUGUAAACUUUUGUCUUGCGGGACGAAUAAUGACGGUACCGCAGGAGGAAGCCACGGCUAACUACGUGCCAGCAGCCGCGGUAAUACGUAGGUGGCGAGCGUUGUCCGGAAUUACUGGGUGUAAAGGGUGCGUAGGCGGAUUUGCAAGUCAGACGUGAAAACUAUCGGCUUAACCGGUAGCCUGCGUUUGAAACUGUGAGUCUUGAGUGGUGAAGAGGUAAGCGGAAUUCCUAGUGUAGCGGUGAAAUGCGUAGAUAUUAGGAGGAACACCAGUGGCGAAGGCGGCUUACUGGGCACUAACUGACGCUGAGGCACGAAAGCAUGGGGAGCAAACA
rnacentral:rRNA from 1 species